rnacentral:rRNA from 1 species
GACGAACGCUGGCGGCGCGCCUAACACAUGCAAGUCGAACGGAGUCAAGAGGAGCUUGCUUUUCUUGACUUAGUGGCGAACGGGUGAGUAACGCGUGAGUAACCUGCCCUGGAGUGGGGGACAACAGUUGGAAACGACUGCUAAUACCGCAUAAGCCCACGGAUCUGCAUGGAUCUGCGGGAAAAGGAUUUAUUCGCUCUAGGAUGGACUCGCGUCCAAUUAGCUAGUUGGUGAGGUAACGGCCCACCAAGGCGACGAUUGGUAGCCGGACUGAGAGGUUGAACGGCCACAUUGGGACUGAGACACGGCCCAGACUCCUACGGGAGGCAGCAGUGGGGGAUAUUGCACAAUGGGGGAAACCCUGAUGCAGCGACGCCGCGUGGAGGAAGAAGGUUUUCGGAUUGUAAACUCCUGUCGUUAGGGACGAUAAUGACGGUACCUAACAAGAAAACACCAGCUAACUACGU